rnacentral:rRNA from 1 species
ACGGAGGAUGCAAGCGUUAUCCGGAAUCAUUGGGUUUAAAGGGUCCGUAGGCGGUUUAAUAAGUCAGUGGUGAAAGCCCAUCGCUCAACGAUGGAACGGCCAUUGAUACUGUUAAACUUGAAUUAUUAGGAAGUAACUAGAAUAUGUAGUGUAGCGGUGAAAUGCUUAGAGAUUACAUGGAAUACCAAUUGCGAAGGCAGGUUACUACUAAUAUAUUGACGCUGAUGGACGAAAGCGUGGGGAGCGAACAGGAUUAGAUACCCUGGUAGUCCACGCCGUAAACGAUGGAUACUAGCUGUUGGGAGCAAUCUCAGUGGCUAAGCGAAAGUGAUAAGUAUCCCACCUGGGGAGUACGUUCGCAAGAAUG